UACAGAGGGGGCGAGCGUUGUUCGGAAUUACUGGGCGUAAAGGGCGCGUAGGCGGCCCGCUAAGUCGAACGUGAAAUCCCCAGGCUCAACCUGGGAACUGCGUCCGAUACUGGCAGGCUUGAAUCCGGGAGAGGGAUGUGGAAUUCCAGGUGUAGCGGUGAAAUGCGUAGAUAUCAGGAGGAACACCGGUGGCGAAGGCGGCCCUCUGGACGGUGACUGACGCUGAGACGCGAAAGCGUGGGGAGCAAACAGG
rnacentral:rRNA from 1 species